rnacentral:rRNA from 1 species
AAGCUCGUAGUUGAAUUUCGGGCCUGGCUGGACGGUCCGCCCUUCGGGUGAGUACUGUCUGUGGUCGGGUCCUACCUUCUGGCGAAGCGUCAUGGCCUUAACCGGCCGUGGCGGGGAACCAGGACUUUUACUGUGAAAAAAUUAGAGUGUUCAAAGCAGGCAAUCGCUUGGAUACAUUAGCAUGGAAUAAUGGAAUAGGACAAUGGUUCUAUUUGUUGGUUUCUUGGACCGUUGUAAUGAUUAAUAGGGAUAGUUGGGGGCAUUAGUAUUCAAUUGUCAGAGGUGAAAUUCUUGGAUUUAUUGAAGACUAACUACUGCGAAAGCAUUUGCCAAGGAUGUUUUCAUUAAUCAAGAACGAAAGUUAGGGGAUCGAAGACGAUCAGAUACCGUCGUAGUCUUAACCAUAAACUAUGCCGACUAGGAAUCGGGCGAUGUUGAAAAAAUGACGCGCUCGGCACCUCAUGGGAAACCAAAGUGUUUGGGUUCCGGGGGGAGUAUGGUCGCAAGGCUGAAACUUAAAGGAAUUGACGGAAGGGCACCACCAGGGGUGGAGCCUGCGGCUUAAUUUGACUCAACACGGGAAAACUCACCAGGUCCAGACAUAGUAAGGAUUGACAGAUUGAGAGCUCUUUCUUGAUUCUAUGGGUG